UAAGCCAGAAGAGGUGCGUCGCCCAGGUAAAAUGUCGGAGGAGCCGUUAUCCGCUGAGGGCAUUCAAGGGGGAGCGACGCCGAGACGUGAUGACUUCGGCUAUCACCACGUCGACUACAGGGGCUGAAUCUCCUGGGUUGUCACCCGAUACCGCUCACAUUGAGCGAUUAGCAAGGUGGAGCGCUUCUGGGUGU
rfam:Yersinia ruckeri strain 37551 YRO1b0000005, whole genome shotgun sequence.